rnacentral:rRNA from 1 species
GCCCUUGCGGCGGAUAACGCCCACGGCCUAGAUGAUGGUCUGAGAAGGCCCCACUGAUGAGACCGCCAAAUCCUACGGAGGCAGCAGUGAGGAUUUGUCAUGCGGCACGUGACCAGCAGUAGCGGAGGAUACUGCCUAUGGGUUUAAACUCUUUGUUGGGAGCACGGCAUCACUGUGGUGCCUGCGAGUACCCUCGAAUAAGCAUCGCUAACUCCGUGCCAGCAGCGCGUAAUACGAGAUGCGAGCGUAUCCGGAUUUAUUGGGUUUAAAGGGAGCGCGGACCGGAGAUUAAGUCAGCUGUUAAAUGGCGGCGCCCAACGUCGUCUGCGGUUGAUACUGGUUUCCUUGAGUGCGGUAUGGGCAUGCGGAAUUCACGGUGUAGCGGUGAAAUGCUUAGAUAUCGUGAAGAACUCCGAUCGCGAAGGCAGCGUGCCGGACCGUUACUGACGUUUAGGCUCGAAAGUGCGGGUAUCAAACAGGAUUAGAUACCCUGGUAGUCCGCACAGUAAACGAUGGACACUCGCUGUCGGCGACAGACUGUCGGCGGCCAAGCGAAAGCGUUAAGUGUCCCACCUGGGGAGUACGCCGGCAACGGUGAAACUCAAAGGAAUUGACGGGGGCCCGCACAAGCGGAGGAACAUGUGGUUUAAUUCGAUGAUACGCGAGGAACCUUACCCGGGCUUGAACUGCGCAGGUAUGUUGGGGAGACCCAUCAGUCAGCAAUGACCUGCGUGGAGGUGCUGCAUGGUUGUCGUCAGCUCGUGCCGUGAGGUGUCGGCUUAAGUGCCAUAACGAGCGCAACCCCUUCUUCCAGUUGCCAUCGGGUGAUGCCGGGCACUCCGGAGGGACUGCCGCCGUAAGGUGUGAGGAAGGCGGGGAUGACGUCAAAUCAGCACGGCCCUUACGUCCGGGGCUACACACGUGUUACAAUGGGGGGUACAGCGGGGUGCCACCGCGCGAGCGGGCGCCGAUCCUCAAACCCUCCCGUAGUUCGGAUUGGGGUCUGCAACCCGACCCCAUGAAGCUGGAUUCGCUAGUAAUCGCGCAUCAGCCAUGGCGCGGUGAAUACGUUCCCGGGCCUUGUACACACCGCCCGUCAAGCCAUGAAAGCCGGGAGUACCUGAAGUGCGUAACCGCGAGGAGCGCCCUAGGGCAAGACCGGUGAUUGGGGCUAAGUCGUAACAAGGUAAAUCACUGGCAUCGUA